rnacentral:rRNA from 1 species
GCGAGUGAAGCGGCAGCAGCUCAGAUUUGAAAUCUGGUCCCCCGGCGGGGGAUCCGAGUUGUGGUCUGCAGAGGAUGCCCUGGGCGCGGCGCCUUCCGAGUUCCCUGGAACGGGACGCCACAGAGGGUGAGAGCCCCGUCAGGUCGGACGCCAGGCCCGUGUAGGGCUCCUUCGACGAGUCGAGUAGUUUGGGAAUGCUGCUCAAAGUGGGAGGUAUAUGUCUUCUAAAGCUAAAUACCGGCCAGAGACCGAUAGCGCACAAGUAGAGUGAUCGAAAGAUGAAAAGCACUUUGGAAAGAGGGUUAAAGAGCACGUGAAAUUGCUGAAAGGGAAGCGCCCGCGACCAGACUUGGGCCCGGCAGGUCACCCAGGCUCUCGGGCCAGGGGCACUCUGCCGGGCGCAGGCCAGCAUCGGCUCGGCGCGGGGGACAAAGGCGGCGGGAACGUGGCUCCUCAGGGAGUGCUUAUAGCCCGCCGCGCCAUGCCCUGCGCCGGGCCGAGGCACGCGCACCGCAAGGAUGCUGGCGUAAUGGUCGCCGGCGACCCGUCUUGAAACACGGACCAAGGAGUCGAUCUCGUAUGCGAGUGUUGGGGUGCCAAACCCCUACGCGCAGUGAAGGCGAACGCAGGUGAGAGCCGAGCCCUCGGCGCAUCAUCGACCGAUCCUGAUGUUCUCGGAUGGAUUUGAGUAGGAGCAUACGGGGCCGGACCCGAAAGAAGGUGAACUAUGCCUGUGUAGGGUGAAGCCAGAGGAAACUCUG